UGGGAUGUCGCUCAGCAGUAGAGCACUUGCCUAGCAUGUGCAGUGUCCUGGGUUCAAUCCCCAGAACCCCAU
rnacentral:tRNA from 1 species